GACGAACGCUGGCGGCGUGCUUAACACACGCAAGUCGAACGGAAAGGCCCUGCUUUUGUGGGGUGCUCGAGUGGCGAACGGGUGAGUAACACGUGAGUAGCCUGCCCUUGACUUUGGGAUAACUUCAGGAAACUGGGGCUAAUACCGGAUAGGAGCUCCUGCUGCAUGGUGGGGGUUGGAAAGUUUCGGCGGUUGGGGAUGGACUCGCGGCUUAUCAGCUUGUUGGUGGGGUAGUGGCUUACCAAGGCUUUGACGGGUAGCCGGCCUGAGAGGGUGACCGGCCACAUUGGGACUGAGAUACGGCCCAGACUCCUACGGGAGGCAGCAGUGGGGAAUAUUGCACAAUGGGCGGAAGCCUGAUGCAGCAACGCCGCGUGCGGGAUGACGGCCUUCGGGUUGUAAACCGCUUUCGCCUGUGACGAAGCGUGAGUGACGGUAAUGGGUAAAGAAGCACCGGCUAACUACGUG
rnacentral:rRNA from 1 species